UACGGAGGGUGCGAGCGUUGUCCGGAAUCACUGGGCGUAAAGGGCGCGUAGGCGGCCGGGUAGGUCUGCUGUGAAAACUCGAGGCUCAACCUCGAGACGUCGGCGGAAACCAUCUGGCUAGAGUCCGGAAGAGGAGAGUGGAAUUCCUGGUGUAGCGGUGAAAUGCGCAGAUAUCAGGAAGAACACCCGUGGCGAAGGCGGCUCUCUGGGACGGUACUGACGCUGAGACGCGAAAGCGUGGGGAGCGAACAGG
rnacentral:rRNA from 1 species